UACGUAGGGUCCAAGCGUUAUCCGGAAUCACUGGGCGUAAAGCGUGCGUAGGCGGAUGCUUAAGUGAGAUGCGAAAUUGCAUGGCUCAACCAUGUCGACUGUAUCUCAUACUGGGCAUCUGGAGGACGGCAGAGGCAAGUGGAAUUACUGGUGUAGCAGUGAAAUGCGUAGAGAUCAGUAGGAACACCAAUGGCGAAGGCAGCUUGCUGGGACGUAUCUGACGCUGAGGCACGAAAGCGUGGGGAGCGAACAGG
rnacentral:rRNA from 1 species